rnacentral:rRNA from 1 species
GGUGCAGCAGGCGCGAAACCUUUACACUGCACGCAAGUGCGAUAAGGGGACCCCAAGUGCGAGGGCAUAUAGUCCUCGCUUUUCACGACUGUAAGGCGGUCGUGGAAUAAGAGCUGGGCAAGACCGGUGCCAGCCGCCGCGGUAAUACCGGCAGCUCAAGUGAUGACCGAUAUUAUUGGGCCUAAAGCGUCCGUAGCCGGCCACGAAGGUUCAUCGGGAAAUCCGCCAGCUCAACUGGCGGGCGUCCGGUGAAAACCACGUGGCUUGGGACCGGAAGGCUCGAGGGGUACGUCCGGGGUAGGAGUGAAAUCCCGUAAUCCUGGACGGACCACCGAUGGCGAAAGCACCUCGAGAAGACGGAUCCGACGGUGAGGGACGAAAGCUAGGGUCUCGAACCGGAUUAGAUACCCGGGUAGUCCUAGCUGUAAACGAUGCUCGCUAGGUGUGACACAGGCUACGAGCCUGUGUUGUGCCGUAGGGAAGCCGAGAAGCGAGC